AUGGGACCAGAUACUUUCGCUUGUCAAUGUCCACAAUCUGUGAACCAGAUACUUUCUCUACACUCACAGGAACUCUGUCUGGGUACUUGUUGCGGAUUUUGGCCGACUCCACACACCUGUGCUCUAAAUGACGGAUGCAAAAAGACAAGACAUCGAUCAGUCUACAUCAGGGGUGUCAAACUAAAUUCCUGGAGGGCUGAAGCCCUGCAGGGUUUAGAUUCAACCCUAAUUAAACACACUGAUCCAACUAAUCAAGUUCUUCAAGCUUAUUUGAAAACUACAUGGCAUGUGUGUUGGAGCAGGGUUGGAACAAAACUCUGCAGGGCUCCAGCGCUCCAUGAAUUGAGUUUGACACCCCUGAUCUACAUGCAACCUCAACAUACUGUUCACAUCAUUAAUAUUCAUUAGAGCAGGGGUCACCCAACUCAGUCCUGGAGGGCCGGUGUCCCCCAGAGUUCAGCUCCAACCCUAAUCAAACACACCUGAACCAGCUAAUCAAGCUCUUACUAGGUAUACUAGGAACUUGCAAGCAGGUGAGUUGAGGCAAGUUGGAGUAAAACUACACAGGACCGAGUUUGGUGACUCCUGCAUGAGAGAGUCUUGUGAUCAGCACGAAGGAAUUCUCAUCCGCAUUCUUUUUUUAAUGAUUAUAAAUAGAUAUUAUACUAUAAAAGCACACACAUUGUUUGAUAGGGUAACUUACCCCAAAACACGCCAAUAAAUAUUUUUUAUACACGUUUGGCAUGUGAAUAUUUCAAAAUCACAUAAAAUAUGAGUACAUUUGUAGGGCUGAUAAACACGCUAAACAUGACUUGCUAAAAUGAAAGAAAAACUAUGCACUUUGCUCAUCAAACGCUGAUAGAUAACACCAGGGACAGACUCUCCAACGGUAUAAUCUCAGUUUGUUUUUGUUAUUAAUGUAGUUAUGACGAGCAAACAACAGGCCCGACGUAAGCAAAUAAAUCUAAGAUCGUAGAGUUAGAUCAAAUUAGUAACAAAAAAUCAUCCGUCUGACAAACAGAUCAAUAAUUACACACAUCUGACAGGCCGUUGUUGAUAAAGAUAUGACAUUUUCGAUGAAUUACCCAGAGAAUGGUCCUCUUUAAACAUCCAUUUCAUUUUUGCAGAGGUACUGCUCGAGGAGCGAUCUGCUAAUGAAAAUAUGUGAUGAUUUAAAGUCAAUUAAAUGUUAAAACUAAAAACGUCAACAAUGGAACAGCAGCAGACGCUCGUCUUCAGACUAGCCGUAAUGACGUCACCGCGUACGUAAUCCCAGUGAGGGCGAGGUUACGUCACAGCAGGGCCGUACCAAUCGGUAGAUGCCGGGGUUUUCAUAGUACGCGAGUUCGUAUUUUGCAGCAACUACAGCAAUUCGAUUGUCGAAACCAAGUGACCAGACUAAUCGUUUUUGACAUAAUUUAGAUAAUUUCAUAUCUAAUAAUUCCUAUUUACAUACCUCGCACAAGGCCAAGUUUGGCGUUGUUGUUGCUAUGGUGAACAGAUGACGCUGCGCCACCGUAACACUCCAAGUACACCCGGCUGCAACCUGCAGAUCGAGGCGUCCCAUACCUACUCUGAUUGGUUUGAUCGUCUUUCAUAGACAUACAUGAUAAGAGAAGUGUGUGUAGUUGGUGUAGGACAGAGUAUGUUGAUUAAAAAGCUAAAAAUGCUGUGCAGUUUUAUAAAGCCUUCAUUAUAACGCACAGAAGAAAAAAAAACAUUAGUCUGUAACUCUCCAUGUCUGUGAAAUUAUUGUUUUGUUAAAUUAAGCUGAUUUUUAGGCUAACAGACAAACAACCCACCACAUUUAGUAAAUUAAUUGGGUUUUAGAACAGUUUUCCACUUUGCCACAGUCCAUUUUAAAUGAGCCUUGGCCCAGAGAAAACGCCUGCACUUCUGGAUCAUGUUUAGAUAUGGCUUCUUUUUUGACCUAUAGAGUUUUAGCUGGCAACGGCGAAUAGCACGGUGGAUUAUGUUCACCGACAAAGUUUUCUGGAAGUAUUCCUGAGCAUCCAGUAUGGUUUUCCGGCCUUGACCCUUACACACAGAGAUUGUUCCAGAUUCUCUGAAUCUUUGGAUGAUAUUAUGCACUGUAGAUGAUGAUAACUUCAAGCUCUUUGCAAUUUUUCUCUGAGAAACUCCUUUCUGAUAUUGCUCCACUAUUUUUGCCACAGCAUUGGGGGAAUUGGUGAUUCUUUGCCCAUCUUGACUUCUGAGAGACACUGCCACUCUGAGAGGCUCUUUUUAUACCCAAUCAUGUUGCCAAUUGACCUAAUAAGCUGCAAACUGGUCCUCCAGCUGUUCCUUAUAUGUACAUUUAACUUUUCCGGCCUCUUAUUGCUACCUGUCCCAACUUUUUUAGAAUGUGUAGCUCUCAUGAAAUCCAAAAUGAGCCAAUAUUUGGCAUGACAUUUCAAAAUGUCUCACUUUCAACAUUUGAUAUGUUAUCUAUAUUCUAUUGUGAAUAAAAUAUGCUUAUGAGAUUUGUAAAUUAUUCCAUUCCUUUUUUACUCACAAUUUGUACAGUGUCCCAACUUUUUUGGAAUCGAGUUUGUAAGUUUAACGUGGCAUAAUGCAUUAAAACGUUUUUUUUAAAAGACUAAACUCAGUAAACACAUUAUUAAUAAAGUAUUAUAUUCACAGACAAGCAGAUGAGUCCUGAAUAAGAAUGCAAUGCGUUUAAUCACGCGUUAAGUGUUUUCCUCCCAUAGAAAACCAUUAGACUAAAAGGAAAAUGCUUAACGUGGCGUAAUGCAUUAAAACGUGUUUUAAAAAGCUGACCUAACUCAGUAAACAUUUUUAAUAAAGCAUUCUAUUUACAGACAAGCAGGUUAUGGGAGGAAAAUGCUUAACACCUAAUUAAUCGCGUUGCGUUCGUAUAUCUGCUUGUCUGUGAAUAUAAUGCUUUAUUUAUACUUUGUUUACGGAGUUUGGUCUUUUUAAAACACCGUUUUAAUGCAUAAGUCCACGUACUUUCACGUUAAAUGCUUUUGAAUGUCCCAAUGAUUAAUUUGUGAAUUUGACUGGUCCAGAUUAAACUUGCAGUAAACAUCUCUUGAUUCAAUUACAGUGAGUCAAGUUAACAAUAAACAACUACAUUAGUAAAGGCUUUGUAAAACUGCACAGCAUUUUUAGCUUUUUAAUCAACAUACUCUGUCCUACACCAACUACACACACUUCUCUUAUCAUGUAUGUCUAUGAAAGACGACCAAACCAAUCAGAGUAGGUAUGGGGCGGGGCUGCACGUGCAACCCCGCCCCAGGUGCAGCCUUGCCUCGAUCUGCAGUUGUUGGUUUGCUGGACUAAUUAAUUUAUCUGUAGACUACAAGUUUU
ensembl:lncRNA